rnacentral:ncRNA from 1 species
CGAGAAUAGAGUUGCAGGGUGGUGUCUCCUGCGCUCCCUUUUGAGGGGGUUCUUCUCCGCCACGG